AUACUUACCUGGAUGGGGUGAAUGGAUGAUCAAGAAGACCCAUGGCCUAGGCUAGUGACCUCCAACGCACAUAAAGGAGGGGUGCUACCCUAAGGUCUGCCCAAGUGGUGGAUCGUACAUCAUAAUUUGUGGUAGUGGGUGAAGUAACAAUGUCGAUUUACAAG